AAAAGCAACGGGAACAAUACAUACACUGUGUGUGAUUAGAAGUGGCCGGCCUCCUUAUAACUGGAGAUCUAUGUGUGUGUGCGUGUGUAAAUGUGUAAUCUUAAUCUGGUUAAUACUAGCAACUUAAUCUAAUACUGAAUGGCUAUAAAUUAUUAUAAUUAUUUUACAACAUUGAUUAUACAUUUUAUUUUAACUAUAUAUGAUAGCAUAUCCUUACGAUGAGUAGAUAUCGCAUUAAAAUAUA